UACAGAGGUCCCAAGCGUUUGUUCGGAUUCACUGGGCGUAAAGGGUGCGUAGGCGGUCGGGUAAGUCUGAUGUGAAAUCUCACAGCUUAACUGUGAAACUGCAUUGGAUACUAUCCGGCUCGAGGAAUGGAGGGGGAGACUGGAAUACUUGGUGUAGCAGUGAAAUGCGUAGAUAUCAAGUGGAACACCAGUGGCGAAGGCGAGUCUCGUGGACAUUUCCUGACGCUGAGGCACGAAAGCCAGGGGAGCAAACGGG
rnacentral:rRNA from 1 species